rnacentral:rRNA from 1 species
AGUGAACGCUGGCGGUAGGCCUAACACAUGCAAGUCGAACGGCAGCACAGUAAGAGCUUGCUCUUACGGGUGGCGAGUGGCGGACGGGUGAGGAAUACAUCGGAAUCUACUUUUUCGUGGGGGAUAACGUAGGGAAACUUACGCUAAUACCGCAUACGACCUACGGGUGAAAGCAGGGGAUCUUCGGACCUUGCGCGAUUGAAUGAGCCGAUGUCGGAUUAGCUAGUUGGCGGGGUAAAGGCCCACCAAGGCGACGAUCCGUAGCUGGUCUUAGAGGAUGAUCAGCCACACUGGAACUGAGACACGGUCCAGACUCCUACGGGAGGCAGCAGUGGGGAAUAUUGGACAAUGGGCGCAAGCCUGAUCCAGCCAUACCGCGUGGGUGAAGAAGGCCUUCGGGUUGUAAAGCCCUUUUGUUGGGAAAGAAAAGCAGCAGGUUAAUACCCCGCUGUUCUGACGGUACCCAAAGAAUAAGCACCGGCUAACUUCGU